CAGAUGUAGUUUAAUGGUUAGAACUUAACAUUGCCAAUGUUAGGAUACGGGUUCGAUUCCCGUUAUCUG
rnacentral:tRNA from 1 species